GUGGGGAAUCUUAGACAAUGGGCGCAAGCCUGAUCUAGCCAUGCCGCGUGAGCGAUGAAGGCCUUAGGGUUGUAAAGCUCUUUCGUGGGGGAAGAUAAUGACGGUACCCCCAGAAGAAGCCCCGGCUAACUCCGUGCCAGCAGCCGCGGUAAUACGGAGGGGGCUAGCGUUGUUCGGAAUUACUGGGCGUAAAGCGCACGUAGGCGGACCAGAAAGUCAGGGGUGAAAUCCCGGGGCUCAACCCCGGAACUGCCUUUGAAACUCCUGGUCUUGAGGUCGAGAGAGGUGAGUGGAAUUCCGAGUGUAGAGGUGAAAUUCGUAGAUAUUCGGAGGAACACCAGUGGCGAAGGCGGCUCACUGGCUCGAUACUGACGCUGAGGUGCGAAAGCGUGGGGAGCAAACAGGAUUAGAUACCCCAGUAGUCC
rnacentral:rRNA from 1 species